AAUCAACGCUGGCGGCGUGCCUCAGACAUGCAAGUCGAACGAUUAAACUUUCCUUCGGGAAAGAUAUAAAGUGGCGCACGGGUGAGUAACACGUAAGUAAUCUACCUUUGAGUGGGGAAUAACAUCGGGAAACCGAUGCUAAUACCGCAUAAUGCAGCGGCAUCGCAAGAUGACAGUUGUUAAAGAUUUAUCGCUUAAAGAGGAGCUUGCGGCAGAUUAGCUAGUUGGUAAGGUAAUGGCUUACCAAGGCUACGAUCUGUAACCGGUCUAAGAGGACGGUCGGUCACACUGACACUGAAUAACGGGUCAGACUCCUACGGGAGGCAGCAGUCGGGAAUUUGGCAAUGGGCGAAAGCCUGACCCAGCAACGCCGCGUGAAGGAUGAAGUAUUUCGGUAU
rnacentral:rRNA from 1 species